rnacentral:rRNA from 1 species
CGACCGGCGCACGGGUGAGUAACACGUAUGCAACCUGGCCGUCACAGGUGGAUAACCGGAAGAAAUUCCGACUAAUACAGCAUAACACUCCUGAGGGACAUCCUUCGGGAGUCAAAGGAGGCAACUCCGGUGACGGAUGGGCAUGCGGCGCAUUAGGUAGUUGGUAGGGUAACGGCCUACCAAGCCGACGAUGCGUAGGGGUUCUGAGAGGAAGGUCCCCCACAUUGGAACUGAGACACGGUCCAAACUCCUACGGAAGGCAGCAG